CAGCUGGUAAACUGGGGAUCUGCUGGUCCUCACACAACCCUGAGCGAGUGGGUGCACUGGGCCUGUACUCACUCUGAACCCGGUCUGCGCAUUCGUGAAACUCCUGAGGCCUGUGAGGACCUGGAGUUCCUGAUCACCGCCCGACUUUAAGCCCAGAAAGAUGUCCAUUUUAACUGCUGACACUCCUGUUGAUUGGUCAACAUGACAGAAUGAGUCACUCACUGAUGCCUCGGGCUACUUGCUACACUCAAGA